rnacentral:rRNA from 1 species
UACAGAGGGGGCAAGCGUUGUUCGGAAUUACUGGGCGUAAAGGGCGCGUAGGCGGUCGUGACAAGUCACUUGUGAAAUCUCCGGGCUUAACUCGGAACGGUCAAGUGAUACUGUCGGACUAGAGUACAGAAGGGGCAACUGGAAUUCUCGGUGUAGCGGUGAAAUGCGUAGAUAUCGAGAGGAACACCUGCGGCGAAGGCGGGUUGCUGGGCUGAUACUGACGCUGAGGCGCGAAAGCCAGGGGAGCAAACGGG